CCUACGGGAGGCAGCAGUGAGGAAUAUUGGUCAAUGGCCGGAAGGCUGAACCAGCCAUGCCGCGUGAAGGUCAGUGCCCUAUGGGCGUUAAACUUCUUUUGUGCGGGAGCAAUAAUGGUCACGUGUGGCCAGACGAGAGUACCGUACGAAUAAGCAUCGGCUAACUCCGUGCCAGCAGCCGCGGUAAUACGGGGGAUGCAGGCGUUAUCCGGAUUUAUUGGGUUUAAAGGGUGCGUAGGCUGUGAGGUAAGUCAGCGGUGAAAUGCCCGCGCUCAACGGGGUGAAGUGCCAUUGAUACUGGCUGGCUGGAAUGCGGAUGCCGUGGGAGGAAUGUGUGGUGUAGCGGUGAAAUGCAUAGAUAUCACACAGAACACCGAUUGCGAAGGCAUCUCACGAAUCCGCGAUUGACGCUGAUGCACGAAAGCGUGGGUAUCAAACAGGAUUAGAUACCCCGGUAGUC
rnacentral:rRNA from 1 species